GUGACAACAGCAUUGGGUUCCAGGUCAGCUGGUCCCUUGGUCUGGUGCUCACAAAUCUGCUGCUUGAAUAGAACUUCAUAAAGUGUGGCUCCCUAAUUCCAGUCAUUGCAGCUGAUCCAGAAGAACACUAUAGUUUAUGAUAUGAAACAUUGUUGAAAAAUCUAAUAGGGCCAGGAAGGGUGCUCUCUGCCCAUCCUGGUCCCAAGGCUGAUGCAGGUAACCUUGAACAUGGCCUCUGGCUAAGAAUAUGCAGACAAAAUAAGAGCGAAGACUUACAGAAGCUUCACCAAACAUGGAAAUCAUAACCAAUUCUCCAUCCCUGUGGAGAUGGACGAGAAAACCAACAAUUCUUAUAAAGCAGUGGUGAAAUCUAAAAUUUGUUACUACCAGUUCUGGGUAGUCACAUUACCCGCCCCCCGGGGGGGGUAAUGUGACUGGGUGGGCGUGGCCAUUUUUUAAAAAAGUUUUAAAACCAUUUUUUCUACAACCUCUUCGGCGAAAAAAAAAAUGCUUUCAAAAGGCUCUGACGAUUCCAGCUUGGAUCGUCAGAGGCAUUUA